UACGAAGGGGGCUAGCGUUGCUCGGAAUUACUGGGCGUAAAGCGUGCGCAGGCGGUUAUGUAAGACAGGUGUGAAAACUCGGGGCUUAACCCUGGGCCUGCAGUGGGUACGGGCAGACUAGAGUGCGGUAGGGGAGACUGGAAUUCCUGGUGUAGCGGUGAAAUGCGCAGAUAUCAGGAGGAACACCGGUGGCGAAGGCGGGUCUCUGGGCCGAUACUGACGCUGAGGAGCGAAAGCAUGGGUAGCGAACAGG
rnacentral:rRNA from 1 species